rnacentral:lncRNA from 1 species
UCACUCGCCACCAGAGAAUCCAUACCGGAGAGAGUCCCUACGAAUGCCAGCAGUGUGGGAAAGCCUUCAGCCAGAAAAGCAUUCUCACUCGGCACCUGCUGACCCACACUGGCAGGAAGCCUUACGAAUGCAGGGACUGUGGGAAAGCAUUCUAUGGCGUCACCUCCCUAAACAGACACCAAAAAGUGCACACUGAGGAGCCCCGCUAUCAGUGCAGCGAGUGUGGCAAAGCUUUCUUUGACCGCUCUUCUCUUACGCAGCACCAGAAGAUACACACUGGAGACAAGCCAUAUGAGUGCGGCGAGUGUGGAAAGGCCUUCAGCCAGAGGUGCCGGCUCACGAGACAUCAGAGAGUUCAUACGGGGGAGAAACCCUUUGAGUGCAGUGUGUGCGGCAAAGAGUUCAGCUCUAAGUCCUCCAUUAUUCAGCAUCAGAGACGUUACGCCAAACAAGGGAUAGACAGAGGGGGAAGCAUGAGCUAGACAGCGGGCCUUCCUGCGAGCCUGGAAGGGUUCCCUGUCGUCUACAAGGCCAGCAUUUGUUCUUUCUGCCAACUCUGGCCGCUGUCUUCAGCCCAACCUCUGCUCCAGGGUCCGAGUAAACGGUGCACCUCCUUCCUGUGCUACAGAACUAACGUGGAGUGCAGAAACUAAACCAUGAAUCUCCACAUUCAAAAUUCUGCACAGAGGCUGCGCAUAGCUCAGUGAUAGACUCCCGCCUAGCAUGCAUGAGGAGCUGCAGUUUGAUCCCAAGCACUGCGAAAGGAAGCUGGAGAGAUCAUAGGACAGAUGUUAGGAGAGGAAUCUGCAGACACAGUGAGAAUAGGCCUGUUAUCACUGCACUUUAAAUAUCUGCAGGCUAUUACAGUUGGAGAAUGUCACAAUUAUGAGAGAGUACCAUUUUCUCUAGAAGUUUCUAUAGCUCUUCUGGAGCUUUUUGGCACCUAGACCUUAUUCUCUUGUGCCUCAGUAAAGCUCUCCUAGACUAGUAGUAGUGGUAGCACUUACUAAGCACUGAUCUUAGGGUAAAGUCUCAGCAGUGAAUUGUAAAAGGGCUAGGUUGACUGAUCCUCUCACUAAAUCUCUGAAACGGGUCCUUUUACUGUCUGAAUUUCACAGAGGAGCACCCUGAAGUUUAGAGAAAUUAAGUACUAUAGUCUAGGAGAUGCAAGGUGAAGCCAGGUGUCUUGGUUAUUUCUCUAUUGCUGUGCAGAGACAUGAUGGCCAAGGCAACUUAGAAAGCAUUUGCAGGCCUUGCUUACAGUUCCAGGGGGUGAGUCUCUGAACAUCAUCAUAGGAGCAUGGUGACAGGCAGACCCAGUGCUGGAGCAGAACUUAAAUCUGAUCCACAAGCAGUAGGCCAAGAGAUAGGGAGAGACAGACAGACUGGUCUUGGCACACUGGUCUAGGCAAGGGCUUCUGAAACUUCAAAGCCCACCCCCAGUGACACACCUCUUCCAACAAAGCCACACCUCCUGAUCCUUUCUAAACAUUCCAUCAAUCAGGAACCAAACAUUCAAAUAAGUAUAUGAGCCUAAGGGGGCAAUUCUCAUUCAAACCACCACAUUCUGCUCACGGACAUGAUCAACAACCAAUCCUCACACUGAAAUAGGCCUUGUUGAAGUUCACAGAUCAGCUUACUGAAGGUUAGAGAGAUUAAGUAAAAUACCCUACAUGACACAAGGAGAAAUGAGGUCUUCAGUAUGAAUCUGCCUUCAGUAUUUCUACUAUAGAUUACACUCUAAAAUUUUGUCUUAUAAUUGGCAUACCUGAACUAUCUUCUUAGCUAGAUUGUAAGCAUUUGGAGGUGUGAUUUAAUAGGUCUCUGUGUCUUACAGCGUGCCUUGCAAAUAUUAGGUGAUCAAUAAAUGUUUAUCUAAAUG